UGCCUUGUCUGGACAUGGGUCUUCCUUUCCCUCCUCCGGAUGGGGCUGUACAUAAGUGUUUUAGGGUUUGAAGUUUGUGGUUUGCAGGUUUGUUGUUCAUGAUGAAGGAAUCAUGUAACCUGCCUAAGAUCUAGUUUCUUUUGUUGCAUCCAAGGGUUGAGAUCUACCCAAGGUCUGGGUCCUUCAACUUGUGUAUGUGUCUAUCCAGCGAAGCUUUAUUUGCUAUGCUCUCUAUUAAAACCCGCAUGUGGGUGCAUUUCCGUUUUAAGCCGUGAGGACGGUCAUCUCUGGGGUCCAAUAGCCGGCUUUUUU
rnacentral:misc_RNA from 1 species